GACGAACGCUGGCGGCGUGCUUAACACAUGCAAGUCGAACGGAAAGGCCCUGCUUUUGUGGGGUGCUCGAGUGGCGAACGGGUGAGUAACACGUGAGUAACCUGCCCUUGACUUUGGGAUAACUUCAGGAAACUGGGGCUAAUACCGGAUAGGAGCUCCUGCUGCAUGGUGGGGGUUGGAAAGUUUCGGCGGUUGGGGAUGGACUCGCGGCUUAUCAGCUUGUUGGUGGGGUAGGGGCUUACCAAGGGUUUGACGGGUAGCCGGCCUGAGAGGGUGACCGGCCACAUUGGGACUGAGAGACGGCCCAGACUCCUACGGGAGGCAGCAGUGGGGAAUAUUGCACAAUGGGCGGAAGCCUGAUGCAGCAACGCCGCGUGCGGGAUGACGGCCUUCGGGUUGUAAACCGCUUUCGCCUGUGACGAAGCGGGAGUGACGGUAAUGGGUAAAGAAGCACCGGCUAACUACGUG
rnacentral:rRNA from 1 species